GCAAGAAAGGGGCGACCCCCAUCCCUCAAACCCUAGAAUCUUCACAAAAUUCAUAAAUUAAGGCUGCAAAUCUGCUUCAAAUCAAGUUCUAAACACGAAUUAACGAUCACCUAAUCAUAGUGAUCAACAGGCAAAGAGUCCGGAUCGUCAAGCGGACAAACCGAAGGGAAUCCACGGGGAAAGGGCGUGCUCUAAAGUUUUCAGGUAUUCAAGAAAAAGGAUGAUGAUCAAGCAUAACUAUCCGAACCGAACACUCUAGCAAACGCUUCCGCAUAUGAUCUUUUGUUCUAAAAACUAUGUAAACAAUUGUAGUUAAUAUCUUGAUU